rnacentral:rRNA from 1 species
UACGUAGGGUGCAAGCGUUGUCCGGAAUCAUUGGGCGUAAAGAGCGUGUAGGCGGCUCGAUCAGUCCGCUGUGAAAGUCCAGGGCUCAACCCUGGAAAGCCGGUGGAUACUGUCGGGCUAGAGUACGGAAGAGGCGAGUGGAAUUCCUGGUGUAGCGGUGAAAUGCGCAGAUAUCAGGAGGAACACCAAUGGCGAAGGCAGCUCGCUGGGACGAUACUGACGCUGAGACGCGAAAGCGUGGGGAGCAAACAGG